AACGAACGCUGGCGGCAUGCCUAACACAUGCAAGUCGAACGAGACCUUCGGGUCUAGUGGCGCACGGGUGCGUAACGCGUGGGAAUCUACCCUUGGGUUCGGAAUAACAGUUAGAAAUGACUGCUAAUACCGGAUGAUGACGUAAGUCAAAAGAUUUAUCGCCCAAGGAUGAGCCCGCGUAAGAUUAGCUUGUUGGUGGGGUAAUGGCCUACCAAGGCGACGAUCUUUAGCUGGUCUGAGAGGAUGAUCAGCCACACUGGGACUGAGACACGGCCCAGACUCCUACGGGAGGCAGCAGUGGGGAAUAUUGGACAAUGGGCGAAAGCCUGAUCCAGCAAUGCCGCGUGAGUGAUGAAGGCCUUAGGGUUGUAAAGCUCUUUUACCAGGGAUGAUGAUGACAGUACCUGGAGAAUAAGCUCCGGCUAACUCCGUGCCAGCCGCCGCGGUAA
rnacentral:rRNA from 1 species